UACGUAGGGGGCAAGCGUUGUCCGGAUUUAUUGGGCGUAAAGAGCGUGUAGGCGGCUAGGUAGGUCCGUUGUGAAAACUCGAGGCUCAACCUCGAGACGCCGAUGGAAACCAUCUAGCUAGAGUCCGGAAGAGGAGAGUGGAAUUCCUGGUGUAGCGGUGAAAUGCGCAGAUAUCAGGAGGAACACCGGUGGCGAAGGCGGUUCUCUGGGCAUUACCUGACGCUGAGGAGCGAAAGUGUGGGGAGCGAACAGG
rnacentral:rRNA from 1 species